CAACUGAACAGCUAUGGAGAGACCUAAAGAACACUACACAUACAACCAAAGACAAUAGCCUGAGGGGAGGAGGACAACUAGCACAACAAUACAACUAAAGAAAAGGAAAGGUCUCUCCAUAGUGCAAAAGAAGAAAAACCGACUCGGGAAAGAAGGACCACAUGCCACUACGACUGAUCAUUUGUAGCUUCGUUGCGACCAUUAUGUCUUCAAGACCUUGAUGAGUAGCGCCAAUUGUAGUGGUGGAAAGGAGCAACAAGGACAGCUGCAUCCCAAGAAAUUUGGGAAUCGAGACGUGUACACCAACCACAAAAUUUUGCACGUGAGCAGAUCCAUUUAGGAGGAAGGACCGUAACCCCCAACAGUGUGUCUACAGGAGCAUAACAUGCCAUGCAAAUUAAAGUCUUGCAAUUUGGCUGCAGAGAUCUUGGAUUUCUCUGCAGUACUUGAUAUUGUUUGUUAAUACUAGAGAUCCAAGAUCCAAAUGCACUGAAGAUCCAAGAUCCAAAUGAUCGCACGAUUCACGUGGAAACUGAGGUUAUACCACCUGUGACUUCUACACUGAGGUUACACUUGCUAGAAAAUUUUACUCCGGAAAGGCGGAAACUGAUGCUUAUCUUCCUUUUUUAUCUCUGGUUUUUUCAGCAUAUACAGCUUGUGAACGUAUAGAUCACAGUAAGACUCAAAUUCAGUCAUGCUUUUGGCUGGCCUCCAUAUAUAUUUACCUUCUUCAAGCACCGUAAUUGUUCAUUUCAACAGCAUAGUGAUGUGAAGAAGAGUACUGUAUUCAUUCUCAUUGUUUUACUCGCCAUACUGUUUCUUGAUCAUUUUCAAGUGUAUCGCCAAGGAGGCUGAGUUGAUGGUUGACUGGCUGAUGAGUGGGGUAUGACCUUCCCAGUGAAGAAUACAUGUUGGGACUUAAAAUUCGGCAUUUAGCCUAUAAGCUUGUAGCUGCUAUCCUUGUGGAGUUUUGAUGCGCUGUCACAUGAUCUUGAUCAAUUCCUUCGCACCAAAUACAAAAAUAUUAGUGAUAUUUUGAUCAAUUCUUUUGGCUCCACAGAGGUGCAGACCAGACGGUUCACCUACAUUACAUUUUCUGUGUACAAGUUUUAAUCUGCAUCGGGGUACACAUCUGAAGGGAGCAGUGAGGCUUCUGAGACUGAUGAUGUCUGGUACUCUGGUACUCUUCUAAAGACAACAACCGAAGCACUUGGCAAGUGGAAGGAUCUUUUGCGCAAUUACACCAAGACAGUUGAUGAGGAGAUGCGGGGAUGGCUGCCAGUAUUGUUGUAAUCUGAGGUGAAGAAAUUAAUGGAAAUGAGAAGGGACAGGCAUAUAUGUUUGUUUUAAAGAUGAUUUAUUAGACUUGUGCUAGCAUAGGCUUGCGCUCCAUCCAGGAGUUGUUAUGGUCGAAUUUGCAUGCAUACAGUAGACUGUUCCUUCUAUUUAUGUUGGUUAGGGGUGUUACCCGAUUUGAUACACUCUUAGGCAGUGAGUUGAUACAU